AUGAGACAAGCUAUAUAAUAACCUGAUUUUACUGAGUAAGACCCUCUCCUAUCAUAAUGCCAUAUAAGCUAAUCUUCCCCACAAAAUAGGGUAAGGGGCAUAGAAGCAAUGUUUCGCACUUCUUCUUCAUGAAAAUUUCUUCUUAGCACAUCCAUAUCCCAGCUAUUAGAAGAAGCAUUGAUGAGUUGAGCAACCCUUACAAUAGAUGGAUCAUGCGAUGCUUUAACAGCUGGUGUGCGGGGAAAAGAUUUAGAGAUCCACUUAUCUUCCUUAAAAAAAAUAGUUUCCCCAUUCCCAAUUUGCCAGCGAGUCCUGUAUUGGAG
rnacentral:misc_RNA from 1 species